rnacentral:rRNA from 1 species
AAGGCUGAAAUUACGCCUUCAUGAAGCUGGAAUUGCUAGUAAUGGCAGGUCAGCAUACUGCCGUGAAUACGUUCCCGGGCCUUGUACACACCGCCCGUCACACCAUGAGAGUUGGAAAUAACCCGAAGCCUGUGAGCUAACUGUAAAGAGGCAGCAGUCGAAGGUAGAGCCAAUGAUUGGGGUGAAGUCGUAACAAGGUAAC